AGCAGCUGAUUCCCGUUGAAAUCUUAAAGAUCGAUCCAGCGCAUUGCUCAAUAUCAAACAAAUGGAUGGAACCUCUUUUGGUCUUUUUAUGGAAAUACAGCCAGCCAGAUCUCUUAUAAGGUUGAUCCACUUCUCAUUUUCAUUUUGCUCUCCAUCUCGUGCAAGAAUCUUCCCCAUUUCCAGAUCACCAACACAUUCACAGAAUGCUUGAAAUGCAGCCAGUAAUGCACGGAGUGGUUCUAGUUCACCAGUACUAGCUAAGCCAUGACAGCUUCCCAGUUGAAGAGUUAGUGUUGCAAGAACGGAAGCAUAACUUUGUUCAACUGCUUUUUUACCAACUUUACCACCACCCCUGAAAAAAGCAGUCAGAGCAACAAUAGCUGCUCUUGCAAUAUUAUCUUCUAA
rnacentral:misc_RNA from 1 species